GGUUAAGCGACUAAGCGUACACGGUGGAUGCCCAGGCAGUCAGAGGCGAUGAAGGGCGUGCUAAUCUGCGAUAAGCGUCGGUAAGGUGAUAUGAACCGCAACAACCGACGAUACCCGAAUGGGGAAACCCAGUGCAAUCCGUUGCACUAUCAUGUCAUGAAUACAUAGUGGCAUGAGGCGAACCGGGGGAACUGAAACAUCUAAGUACCCCGAGGAAAAGAAAUCAACCGAGAUUCCCCCAGUAGCGGCGAGCGAACGGGGAACAGCCCAGAACCUGAAUCAGUUUGUGCCUUAGUGGAAGCGUCUGGAAAGUCGCGCAGUAAAGGGUGACAGCCCCGUACACAAAAAGGCACUUGCUGUGAGUUCGAUGAGUAGGGCGGGACACGUGACAUCCUGUCUGAAUAUGGGGGGACCAUCCUCCAAGGCUAAAUACUCCUGACUGACCGAUAGUGAACCAGUACCGUGAGGGAAAGGCGAAAAGAACCCCGGCGAGGGGAGUGAAACAGAACCUGAAACCGUGUACGUACAAGCAGUGGGAGCACCUUCGUGGUGUGACUGCGUACCUUUUGUAUAAUGGGUCAGCGACUUAUAUUCUGUAGCAAGGUUAACCGUAUAGGGGAGCCGCAGGGAAACCGAGUCUUAACUGGGCGUUAAGUUGCAGGGUAUAGACCCGAAACCCGGUGAUCUAGCCAUGGGCAGGUUGAAGGUUGGGUAACACUAACUGGAGGACCGAACCGACUAAUGUUGAAAAAUUAGCGGAUGACCUGUGGCUGGGGGUGAAAGGCCAAUCAAACCGGGAGAUAGCUGGUUCUCCCCGAAAGCUAUUUAGGUAGCGCCUCGUGAAUUCAUCUCCGGGGGUAGAGCACUGUUUCGGCUAGGGGGCCAUCCCGGCUUACCAACCCGAUGCAAACUGCGAAUACCGGAGAAUGUUAUCACGGGAGACACACGGCGGGUGCUAACGUCCGUCGUGAAGAGGGAAACAACCCAGACCGCCAGCUAAGGUCCCAAAGUCAUGGUUAAGUGGGAAACGAUGUGGGAAGGCACAGACAGCCAGGAUGUUGGCUUAGAAGCAGCCAUCAUUUAAAGAAAGCGUAAUAGCUCACUGGUCGAGUCGGCCUGCGCGGAAGAUGUAACGGGGCUAAACCAUGCACCGAAGCUGCGGCAGCGGACGUAUCACCCAAGCAGAUUCACUGAAGUGGAUAACGAUUGACGGAGCGCAGCGACGUCAAUGCGCCAUCAAAGUCGAGUCGACUUCGGGAUACGUCCGUUGGGUAGGGGAGCGUUCUGUAAGCCGUCGAAGGUGUGCUGUGAGGCAUGCUGGAGGUAUCAGAAGUGCGAAUGCUGACAUAAGUAACGAUAAAGCGGGUGAAAAGCCCGCUCGCCGGAAGACCAAGGGUUCCUGUCCAACGUUAAUCGGGGCAGGGUGAGUCGACCCCUAAGGCGAGGCCGAAAGGCGUAGUCGAUGGGAAACGGGUUAAUAUUCCCGUACUGGGUGUUACUGCGAAGGGGGGACGGAGAAGGCUAUGUUAGCCGGGCGACGGUUGUCCCGGUUUAAGCGUGCAGGCUUGAGUUCCAGGCAAAUCCGGAACUCUUUAAGGCUGAGGCGUGAUGACGAGGCACCACGGUGCUGAAGUAACAAAUGCCCUGCUUCCAGGAAAAGCCUCUAAGCAUCAGGUAACAUCCAAUCGUACCCCAAACCGACACAGGUGGUCAGGUAGAGAAUACCAAGGCGCUUGAGAGAACUCGGGUGAAGGAACUAGGCAAAAUGGUGCCGUAACUUCGGGAGAAGGCACGCUGGCGCGUAGGUGAAGCGACUUGCUCGUGGAGCUGAAGCCAGUCGAAGAUACCAGCUGGCUGCAACUGUUUAUUAAAAACACAGCACUGUGCAAACACGAAAGUGGACGUAUACGGUGUGACGCCUGCCCGGUGCCGGAAGGUUAAUUGAUGGGGUUAUCCGUAAGGAGAAGCUCUUGAUCGAAGCCCCGGUAAACGGCGGCCGUAACUAUAACGGUCCUAAGGUAGCGAAAUUCCUUGUCGGGUAAGUUCCGACCUGCACGAAUGGCGUAAUGAUGGCCAGGCUGUCUCCACCCGAGACUCAGUGAAAUUGAACUCGCUGUGAAGAUGCAGUGUACCCGCGGCAAGACGGAAAGACCCCGUGAACCUUUACUACAGCUUGACACUGAACAUUGAGCCUUGAUGUGUAGGAUAGGUGGGAGGCUUCGAAGCGUGGACGCCAGUCUGCGUGGAGCCAACCUUGAAAUACCACCCUUUAACGUUUGAUGUUCUAACCUGGCGCCGUUACCCGGCGUGGGGACAGUGUCUGGUGGGUAGUUUGACUGGGGCGGUCUCCUCCCAAAGAGUAACGGAGGAGCACGAAGGUCAGCUAAUCACGGUCGGACAUCGUGAGGUUAGUGCAAUGGCAUAAGCUGGCUUGACUGCGAGAGUGACGGCUCGAGCAGGUGCGAAAGCAGGUCAUAGUGAUCCGGUGGUUCUGAAUGGAAGGGCCAUCGCUCAACGGAUAAAAGGUACUCCGGGGAUAACAGGCUGAUACCGCCCAAGAGUUCAUAUCGACGGCGGUGUUUGGCACCUCGAUGUCGGCUCAUCACAUCCUGGGGCUGAAGUAGGUCCCAAGGGUACGGCUGUUCGCCGUUUAAAGUGGUACGCGAGCUGGGUUUAGAACGUCGUGAGACAGUUCGGUCCCUAUCUGCCGUGGGCGCUGGAAGAUUGAGAGGGGUUGCUCCUAGUACGAGAGGACCGGAGUGAACGCACCGCUGGUGUUCGGGUUGUCAUGCCAAUGGCAUUGCCCGGUAGCUAAGUGCGGAAAAGAUAAGCGCUGAAAGCAUCUAAGCGCGAAACUUGCCUCGAGAUGAAUCUUCCCUGACUCCUUGAGAGUCCUGAAGGGACGUUGAAGACGACGACGUUGAUAGGCCGGGUGUGUAAGCGCAGCGAUGCGUUGAGCUAACCGGUACUAAUGACCCGUGAGGCUUAACCUU
rnacentral:rRNA from 1 species